GAUGAACGCUAGCUACAGGCUUAACACAUGCAAGUCGAGGGGAAACGAUAUUGGAAGCUUGCUUCCGAUAGGCGUCGACCGGCGCACGGGUGAGUAACGCGUAUCCAACCUGCCCAUCACUUGGGGAUAACCUUGCGAAAGUAAGACUAAUACCCAAUGAUAUCUCUAGAAGACAUCUGAAGGAGAUUAAAGAUUCAUCGGUGAUGGAUGGGGAUGCGUCUGAUUAGCUUGUUGGCGGGGUAACGGCCCACCAAGGCGACGAUCAGUAGGGGGGCCGAAAGGAAGGUCCCCCACAUUGGAACUGAGACACGGUGCAAACUCCUACUGGAGGCAGCAGUGAGGAAUAUUGGUCAAUGGACGAGAGUCUGAACCAGCCAAGUAGCGUGCAGGAUGACGGCCCUAUGGGUUGUAAACUGCUUUUAUAAGGGAAUAAAGUGAGUCUCGUGAGACUUUUUGCAUGUACCUUAUGAAUAAGGACCGGCUAAUUCCGUGCCAGCCGCCGCGGUAA
rnacentral:rRNA from 1 species